CCAUGUUACGUUGAAGCACCGGUUCUCGUACAAUCACCGAAGUUAAGCAACGUCGUGCCUGGUCAUCACGUAGAUGGAUGACCGCGUAGGAAUACCAGGUGCUGUAAG